UGUCUCUCUCUCAAAAAUAAAUAAACAUUAAAAAAAAAAAAAAAAGAACCAAGGUCACAGAAGGGACCCACUGGCACUGAUCACUUAGAGCUGAAAUCAUGUCUGGCCACUUAACAUUGACCCCACUGGCCAGAAAAUUUCAGGACUCUUAGAAAUGUCUGCACAUUGGCAAGAACAUUGCAAAAGAUGCUGGCAACAGCCCAGAGGUAGCUCAGAUGGUGCCUUCUAAAGGGUACAAGUGCUUUUUACUUGGAAAAUUGUCCCUAAAGAAAUGUUCAUCGCCACGCUGUAGGAUGGGCCCUGGAAGUGUGUAAGUUACGAAAGAAAAAAAUCCUCCACUUGAUUUGCUAGCAGAUUUAUAGAGAAAUGCCGGCAAUUCCUCAUUUUGGUGACAAUGAUAAGACCUGUGUUCACACCCCCCAAGGCCCUGCACGUUCUCCACGACAACGCUGCAGCCCUGAGGGUCCAACUCCACCACCAUCACGGCCUCCUUCUCCAGAAGGACACCUUGCCAAGACUCUUGGGCACCUAGUGCCUGUCACCCAUGCAUAUCUGGAUUUGAUAACAAAGCUAGGCAGGGCCAGAGGGGUCUGGAUAUUGUCAAGCUUUUUUUCUGAAAAAUCCCGUUUGGGGACUAGUUUGGACUUUGCAGGGAAAAAAAAUCCACUAGGGUUGAAAUGGCCCCAGGAAUCGCCCUAGAGGUUGCAUUUGUGUGUCUUGCUGCCUGCCUCCCCUUUUCCUCUGUCUCCACUGAUUCACCAAAACGCUGCCCUCAGCCAUGCUUGGGAAGCAGAGAGAACAAACAAGACGCACUACCUUAUGGGGUCAGUCGGUCCCAGGCCUGGAGGCAGGUUUCUGGUUUAAGUAUAGUUAGGGGGAAUAAUAGUUUCUCUCUCCCGUGACCCCUAGACUUUAAAAUUUUUCACAUGCUUUUAAUAGUUCCAUGAAUCUGGACAUCAGAGAUGGGUGUUGACUUUGGGAGGUGUGGGCGCCCCGAAGCAUCAGUAGCCACAUGGCUCCUGGGAUGCAGUUUCUCUUUUCCAAGCAAAAUAAGACCCCUCAGAAGCCCUUGGUCAGUGGACUCCUUGUUUAUUAGUCUCAUGCUGCAGCUGCUGGUCAAUGGAGGCCAAACAAGGAAGAGUGAAAAUCAGAGGCAAGCCCUGGUUUUCCUUUCUGUGCCAAAUGCACAGCAACCCUGCUAUCCAUCUGCCUGCUGAGGGCUCUGGGAGCCACCGCCUCCUCCGGCUCUCAGUGGGCUCACCUGCUGAGGACACAGCUGAGGCAGCCUGGCCUCAACCAUGAGGAGGGCACAUGUCUAUGGCUGAAGGCAAGGACUCUCUCAUGACAGGUGCAGACCCAACUGAGUCAGCAGGAAAUAUGGCACAUACAGCACAAUGGAGGGUGGCAUCAUCUGAGUCAUGGCCCUCUGGGCACACACCCUCUUGACUCCUACCCCAAUUCCAGCUGCUGUACACAUCAGGAGGAUGGCCAUUCUGAUGGACAAAUAGGACCGUUACGCUGGGCCAGGGAGCCUUGCGUCAGGAGGGCCCAGCUUCAGGGAAAUGAAACCAAAUAUGCAAGAAGUCAUGACAAUUCCACCCCGGAGGAGGAGGUGUCAAGCUACCCUUGCAAAGCCCUGAACUUGGGGUCCCUCCUUCAAAGACAAAAUGCAUACUGCCCGCUAGCUGUCCUUAUCAAAUAGGGUAGCACUUCCCAGAUCAAAGGCAGUAGCACUCUGGCUAUAAUUAUUGAUGGUUUUGGUAGAGAGACAUGAAAAGUGAGUGGGCAAGAACAUAUUCUGAAUCCGGCAAGCUUCCCCAAAUCGCUGCCCUGAGAAGCUUCUUUGGAGGGGGAUCCAGGGCAGACAUCAGUUUCAGCCACUGUGAUGAUAAGAGAACUAAGGAGCUCAGUGAUCCAAAAGUGGUUACAAGUAAAAUAGAAGCUUAAUCUGGACUUGGAGAAAUCUGUGGAAAACCAGCCAUUUAAGUGGGAUUUCUGCAUCGAAUAAAAGAGAACUGAAAGCUGAAGCAGACCAAGGAAAGAAUAACAACUCUGUGUGCAUAGCUGGGUGGAAAUGGGUGAGUCUUUCUUAGAUCUGACCUCUUUUUGCUCCUGACAAGCAGCAGAGGACACGACAGAGGGCCUAAGGGGUCUUUACCCAGCAGGCUGGGAUGGCUGAUGGUUUGGAAACAAGUCUGCUCCGCAUCAGAACUGACUGCAGUGCUGGAAACAGCUUCUGCUUGGGGCUUGCUCCCUCCAGAUUAGGGGCUUGAAUGUGCUAGUGACAUGUGGAAGCCUCCUGUGUCUUCCUGCAUCUGAGGAAUGGCCGGGCAGAGAGAAGUGAGGAUCCUGGGCGAGCCCCUGCGUCCAGCUGCAUGUGUUCCUUUGGGGAGGGCAAGUCUGCUCGGCCUCCUCUCUCCUUGGUCUGCAGAAACAGCUGAGGGUACGGAGGCCACUCUUCUCUUGAAGUCUUGGUUAGGUGAUGGUAUACCUACAAUCACACAGCUCCAAACGGUGGUGUUCUUUUUUAAAAAGGAGAAGGUCUGGGGAGCUCCCAGAUGCUUUUAAAUGAGCCCAUAGCUGAGCAGGUCGGUAUUAUCUGCGAUGAUUUAGAGCAUCUCAUGUUAUUUUACAACUCAGUUCAAAGCACGUGGGUCAGGUUGCUGGGUUAAAAGCGACAGGUCUGAGGCCAUUACUCCCUGUGAUGCCUGGGUCUACCCCUACAGCUAGGUACACUUGACCCUGUAAGAACAGACUGCAGCAUGUAGAUUUUAGAAGUUCUUUAAACCACAAAGAAGAAACCUAAGACCUGGCACAGGAACUUCAUUCUCCUACAGAAGCCUUAGAGACUCUGUUACUGCAGUUCUUAUUAAAGCCUCUUCACUUGA